rnacentral:tRNA from 1 species
GAUUCCGUAGCUCAGCUGGAUAGAGCAACUGCCUUCUAAGCAGUAGGUCAAGAGUUCGAAUCUCUUCGGGAUCA